rnacentral:rRNA from 1 species
CGGAACGGGUGAGUAAUACAUCGGAACGUGUCCGCUCGUGGGGGACAACCAGCCGAAAGGUUGGCUAAUACCGCAUGAGUUCUACGGAAGAAAGAGGGGGACCCGCAAGGGCCUCUCGCGAGCGGAGCGGCCGAUGACUGAUUAGCCUGUUGGUGAGGUAACGGCUCACCAAAGCAACGAUCAGUAGCUGGUCUGAGAGGACGACCAGCCACACUGGGACUGAGACACGGCCCAGACUCCUACGGGAGGCAGCAG